AUUGAACGCUGGCGGCAUGCCUUACACAUGCAAGUCGAACGGCAGCACGGGCUUCGGUCUGGUGGCGAGUGGCGAACGGGUGAGUAAUGUAUCGGAACGUACCUUUCAGUGGGGGAUAACUAUCCGAAAGGAUAGCUAAUACCGCAUAUUCUGUGAGCAGGAAAGCAGGGGAUCUUCGGACCUUGCGCUGAUUGAGCGGCCGAUAUCAGAUUAGCUAGUUGGUGGGGUAAAGGCCUACCAAGGCGACGAUCUGUAGCGGGUCUGAGAGGAUGAUCCGCCACACUGGAACUGAGACACGAUACAGACUCCUACGGGAGGCAGCAGUGGGGAAUUUUGGACAAUGGGGGCAACCCUGAUCCAGCCAUACCGCGUGAGUGAAGAAGGCCUUCGGGUUGUAAAGCUCUUUCGUCCGGGAAGAAAUCGCAUUGGUUAAUACCUGAUGUGGAUGACGGUACCGGAAUAAGAAGCACCGGCUAACUACGUGCCAGCCGCCGCUGUAA
rnacentral:rRNA from 1 species